GACGAACGCUGGCGGCGUGCUUAACACAUGCAAGUCGAACGGUCCGGCAUGGAAGCUUGCUGAAGUGUCGGGUAGUAGCGGACGGGUGAGUAAUGCAUGAGAAGCUGCCAUUGGGAGGGGGACAACAGUUGGAAACAGCUGCUAAUACCCCAUAUGCCGGAAGGUGAAACGGAGUGAUCCGCCCGAUGAGGUGCUCAUGUCCUAUCAGCUUGUUGGUGAGGUAACGGCUCACCAAGGCGACGACGGGUAGCCGGCCUGAGAGGGUGACCGGCCACACUGGAACUGAGAUACGGUCCAGACUCCUACGGGAGGCAGCAGUGGGGAAUAUUGGGCAAUGGGGGCAACCCUGACCCAGCGACGCCGCGUGAGGGAAGACGGCCUUCGGGUUGUAAACCUCUUUUGUACGGGAAGAAGGAUGUGACGGUACCGUGCGAAUAAGUCCCGGCUAACUACGUGCCAGCAGCCGCGGUAA
rnacentral:rRNA from 1 species